GUGCUCACCUCGGCAGCACGUAUACUGAACUUGGAACAAUACAGAGAAGAUUAGUAUGGCCCCUGCACAAGGAUGACACCCAAGUUCAUGAACCUUUCCAUAUUUUU
ensembl:snRNA U6 U6 spliceosomal RNA